UGCUGGGUUAUUUCAUCUACCCAACCGCUGGGUUAUGAAAUGUUUUACCCAUUAUGGGUUAUUUAUAUGGAAGUUGGGUUAUUUUGUGCAACUCAUGUGUUGAGUCAAAAUCCAUCAACCCAACAUACAUCGGUUGACCCAGCACUUGGGUUGUUUGUGCUUUUGAACGUCAUCAGAUCAUCACCAGAGUCCACACACCGAGCGCUUGUCACAGCAGAGAACCAGUCUGGUCAUCCAACGAGGCAAAUACAUAAUAAAAGAUCAAUGGAUAGCUUUGUCAUUAACACUAUGACAGAGUGCCAGACCUUGUCGAAAGAUUUAAAAGCUUCCACGUAAUAUGUCAAAGUGACUCCAAUAGAUGAAUAGAGCCGGCCACUGGAUUCCUGGAGGAAAAGCUGCGGAACGUCAGGAAGCGGCUGAGAUCAACCAGCAGGUUGCAGAGCACGGCACAGACACCACCACAAACGCCAGAUGAUGGCGCUCUAGCAAGGGCUCUCAUACCAGACUGUACCAUAUCAGACGAACGUGGG